GAUGAACGCUGGCGGCGUGCCUAAUACAUGCAAGUCGAGCGAACGGACGAGGAGCUUGCUCCUCUGACGUUAGCGGCGGACGGGUGAGUAACACGUGGAUAACCUACCUAUAAGACUGGGAUAACUUCGGGAAACCGGAGCUAAUACCGGAUAAUAUAUUGAACCGCAUGGUUCAAUAGUGAAAGACGGUUUUGCUGUCACUUAUAGAUGGAUCCGCGCCGCAUUAGCUAGUUGGUAAGGUAACGGCUUACCAAGGCAACGAUGCCUAGCCGACCUGAGAGGGUGAUCGGCCACACUGGAACUGAGACACGGUCCAGACUCCUACGGGAGGCAGCAGUAGGGAAUCUUCCGCAAUGGGCGAAAGCCUGACGGAGCAACGCCGCGUGAGUGAUGAAGGUCUUCGGAUCGUAAAACUCUGUUAUUAGGGAAGAACAAAUGUGUAAGUAACUAUGCACGUCUUGACGGUACCUAAUCAGAAAGCCACGGCUAACUACGUG
rnacentral:rRNA from 1 species